AUACGUAUGUCGCAAGCGUUAUCCGGAUUUAUUGGGCGUAAAGCGCGUCUAGGCGGCUUAGUAAGUCUGAUGUGAAAAUGCGGGGCUCAACCCCGUAUUGCGUUGGAAACUGCUAAACUAGAGUACUGGAGAGGUAGGCGGAACUACAAGUGUAGAGGUGAAAUUCGUAGAUAUUUGUAGGAAUGCCGAUGGGGAAGCCAGCCUACUGGACAGAUACUGACGCUAAAGCGCGAAAGCGUGGGUAGCAAACAGGAUUAGAUACCCUGGUAGUCCACGCCGUAAACGAUGAUUACUAGGUGUUGGGGGUCGAACCUCAGCGCCCAAGCUAACGCGAUAAGUAAUCCGCCUGGGGAGUACGUACACAAGUAUGAAACUCAAAGGAAUUGACGGGG
rnacentral:rRNA from 1 species